rnacentral:rRNA from 1 species
AUGAGCCACGGGGCAAUGGGAGGGCGCUGCUUCCUGAACCUCCUCCCCUGCUCCACGACCCCCUGCAAAGACAGCGUCGGCGUCGGCGUCGGCACGCCCGGUUCGUCGUCAUGCCGCCACUCCGUCCACCACCACCGCGCCAGAGCGCGCGGCCCGAGGAGAAACGCGGCCGCCAGGGUGUCCUGCUCCGCCGCCGCCGCGCAGGCGCCGCCGUCGCAGAGCACAAUCAAGGUGGUCAUCGUCGGCGCGACCAAGGAGAUGGGGAGGGCGGCGAUCGCGGCGGUGAGCAGGGCGCGGGGGAUGGAGCUCGCGGGCGCCAUUGACACCCAGUGCAUCGGGAUGGAUGCAGGAGAGCUAAGCGGCAUGGAAGAAGCCCUGGAGAUCCCGGUGCUCAAUGACCUCACCAUGGUCCUCGGCUCCAUAGCACAGACAAGAGCAACUGGUGUGGUUGUUGACUUCAGUGAACCUUCAUCCGUCUAUGACAAUGUCAAGCAGGCAGCAGCAUUUGGCUUAAGCAGUGUCGUAUACGUUCCGAAAAUCGAGAUGGAUACAGUAACUGAACUGUCAGCAUUCUGCGACAAGGCAAGCAUGGGUUGCCUGGUCGCGCCAACGCUGUCAAUCGGCUCGGUGCUCCUUCAGCAAGCUGCAAUCCAGGCCUCAUUCCACUACAACAACGUCGAGAUAGUGGAAUCAAGACCUAACCCAUCGGACUUGCCAUCGCCAGAUGCGAUACAGAUUGCGAAUAACAUAUCUGAUCUUGGUCAGAUCUACAACAGACAAGAUAUGGAUUCCGAUAAUCCAGCAAGAGGUCAGGUACUUGGAGAAGAUGGGGUGCGUGUGCACAGCAUGGUUCUUCCAGGGCUUGCGUCGAGCACGUCGGUCGUUUUGUCGGGCCCCGGAGAGGUUUACACCUUGAAGCAUGAUGUUACAGACAUCCAGAGCCUAAUGCCAGGACUGAUUCUGGCAAUACGGAAGGUGAUACGCCUGAAGAACUUGAUUUAUGGUCUGGAGAAGUUCUUGUAG